UUCAUGGAGACAGUGAAGAUAAACCUCUAUUAACUAACAAAUGGGUCUUAAUGUUGAAAAUAUGGGCCUUCAAAGAACUAAAGGCACCAAUGUGUGGCAGUC